rnacentral:lncRNA from 1 species
GGAGCUUUUCCAUGAUAUCUUAACUGGGACCAAUGCCAAAGCGGGGGUAGAAAUUUAUGCUCCCCAAUUUUUUGCCCGUCAGCUUGGUUUUGGCCAAACUUGGCCUGUUCCUCUUUGCUAUUCGAAGAGCUUAAUUGACCGUUUUCAUACCAUUAAUAAGGCGGAAGCAGAGGCUAUAAACGUUCGCAACCUCCAUUUAUCAAGCCACUUUUCAUUAGCCCCUUUUAAUUCUUGUCAUGCUACUCACCCU